rnacentral:sRNA from 1 species
GCUGAAAUCAAGAUGCUAAGGUGGAU